rnacentral:rRNA from 1 species
UACGAAGGGGGCUAGCGUUGUUCGGAAUUACUGGGCGUAAAGGGCGCGUAGGCGGCUUCGAUAGUCGGGUGUGAAAUGCCUGGGCUCAACCCAGGAACUGCACUCGAAACUCCGAGGCUAGAGUGUGGGAGAGGAUAGUGGAAUUUCCAGUGUAGAGGUGAAAUUCGUAGAUAUUGGGAAGAACACCGGUGGCGAAGGCGGCUAUCUGGACCACAACUGACGCUGAGGCGCGAAAGCGUGGGGAGCAAACAGG